GGCUCAGAAUGAACGUUGGCGGCGUGGAUUAGGCAUGCAAGUCGAGCGAGAACCCCGCAAGGGGGGACAGCGGCGCAAGGGACAGUAAUGUGUAGAUUAUCUGCCCUCAGGUCCGGGAUAGCUGCGGGAAACUGCAGGUAAUACCGGAUAACAUCUCCGGAUCAAAGGUGUGAUUCCGCCUGAGGAUGAGUCUGCAUCCUAUUAGCUAGUUGGCAGGGUAACGGCCUACCAAGGCAUUGAUGGGUAGCGGGUGUGAGAGCACGACCCGCGUCAUUGGGACUGAGACACUGCCCAGACACCUACGGGUGGCUGCAGUCGAGAAUCUUCGGCAAUGGGCGCAAGCCUGACCGAGCGACGCCGCGUGUGGGAUGAAGGCCUUCGGGUUGUAAACCACUGUCAGAGGGGAUGAAAUGCAGGUGGGUUCUCCCAUCUGUUUGACAUAGCCUCAGAGGAAGGACGGGCUAAGUUCGUGCCAGCAGCCGCGGUAAGACGAACCGUCCAAACGUUAUUCGGAAUUACUGGGCUUAAAGGGUGCGUAGGCGGCGCGGAAAGUUGGGUGUGAAAUCCCUCGGCUCAACCGAGGAACUGCGCCCAAUACUACCGUGCUUGAGGGAGAUAGAGGUGAGCGGAACUUAGGGUGGAGCGGUGAAAUGCGUUGAUAUCCUAAGGAACACCGGUGGCGAAAGCGGCUCACUGGAUCUCUUCUGACGCUGAGGCACGAAAGCUAGGGUAGCGAACGGGAUUAGAUACCCCGGUAGUCCUAGCCGUAAACGAUGAGCACUGGAUUGGAGGGUCCUCCAUAGCCUUCCAGUCGCAACGAAAGCGUUAAGUGCUCCGCCUGGGGAGUAUGGUCGCAAGGCUGAAACU
rnacentral:rRNA from 1 species